rnacentral:rRNA from 1 species
UAGGGAAUCUUCCACAAUGGACGCAAGUCUGAUGGAGCAACGCCGCGUGAGUGAAGAAGGUCUUCGGAUCGUAAAGCUCUGUUGUUGGUGAAGAAGGAUAGAGGCAGUAACUGGUCUUUAUUUGACGGUAAUCAACCAGAAAGUCACGGCUAACUACGUGCCAGCAGCCGCGGUAAUACGUAGGUGGCAAGCGUUGUCCGGAUUUAUUGGGCGUAAAGCGAGCGCAGGCGGAAUGAUAAGUCUGAUGUGAAAGCCCACGGCUCAACCGUGGAACUGCAUCGGAAACUGUCAUUCUUGAGUGCAGAAGAGGAGAGUGGAACUCCAUGUGUAGCGGUGGAAUGCGUAGAUAUAUGGAAGAACACCAGUGGCGAAGGCGGCUCUCUGGUCUGCAAACUGACGCUGAGGCUCGAAAGCAUGGGUAGCGAACAGGAUUAGAUACCCUGGUAGUCCAUGCCGUAAACGAUGAGCGCUAGGUGUUGGGGACUUUCCGGUUCUCAGUGCCGCAGCAAACGCAUUAAGCGCUCCGCCUGGGGAGUACGG